GUCCACGCCCUAAACGAUGUCAACUGGUUGUUGGGAAGGUUCCUUCUCAGUAACGUAGCUAACGCGUGAAGUUGACCGCCUGGGGAGUACGGCCGCAAGGUUGAAACUCAAAGGAAUUGACGGGACCCGCACAAGCGGUGGAUGAUGUGGUUUAAUUCGAUGCAACGCGAAACCUUACCUACCCUUGACAUGUCUGGAAUCUUGCAGAGAUGUGGGAGUGCUCGAAAGAGAACCAGAACACAGGUGCUGCAUGGCCGUCGU
rnacentral:rRNA from 1 species